UUUGGAAUUUUGGACAAUGGGCGAAAGCCUGAUCCAGCGACGCCGCGUGCACGAAGAAGGCCUUCGGGUCGUAAAGUGCUUUUAGCAGGGAAAAAUUUUGAUUGUACCUGCAGAAUAAGAGGUUGCUAACUCUGUGCCAGCAGCAGCGGUAAUACAGAGACCUCAAGCGUUAUCCGGAAUCAUUGGGCGUAAAGCGUACCGAUAGGUGGUUUUAUAAGUUUUGCCUAAAAUACCGAAGCUUAACUUCGGCCUUGGGUAAAAUACUGUAAAAACUAGAGGGGCAAAGAGGUGCUUGGAACGAACGGUGUAGUAGUGAAAUGCGUUGAUAUCGUUCGGAACACCGAAAGCGAAGGCAGAGCACUGGGUGCCACCUGACACUGCUAGGACGAAAGCGUGGGGAGCGAAUGGGAUUAGAUACCCCAGUAGUCCACGCUGUAAACGAUGAAUACUAGGCAUGCGCGAGUAUCGACCCUCGUGCGAGCCGUAGCUAACGCGUU
rnacentral:rRNA from 1 species